rnacentral:tRNA from 1 species
GUAAAUAUAGUUUAAACAAAACAUUAGACUGUGAAUCUAAAAACAGGAAAUCACUACCCUUAUUUACC